GAAUGGACAAGAAUGAAUGAGAUGUAGGUGUUUGAAUAUUCAUUUCUUGCCACAGGACUCAUUCUUCCCAGAAUGAAAUUUGGGUCUCGGCAAAAAUUUAACACUUACCAAUUCUUUUUUUUUUUUUCGUUUGAGUUUGAAACUUGAGUCCUCUCGGCUGAAGUCACUAAAUCCUCGUCCCUCUCCCUCUGUGUGUGUGUACAAGGUAGUUGAGAUCGAUCUCGAUCUGUUGAAGUCCUAAAGCUAAGAUCAACUCUCUCUCUCUCUCUCUCUCUCUCUCUAUAUAUAUAUAUAUAUAUACAAGGUGAAGCUGAGAUCGAUCUCAAUCUAUUGAAGUCCUAAAGCAAAGAUCGACUCUGUCUCUCUCUGUACAAGGUAAAGCUGAGAUAGAUCUCGAUCUGUUGAAGUCCUAAAGCUAAGAUCAAUCCAAAGAGCUCAAAACCAAGGUAAACUCUCUCUCUCUCUCUCUCUCUCUUUGUCUUCAUCUUUUUCUUUCUUGUCUUCUUCUUCUUCAUCUCCUUCUCAAGCUGCACACAGAAGAUGGAUACCUCCUCCUCCUCCUUCGUCUUCUUCUUCUUCUUCUUCUUACUCCGUUUUUCCCCUUUUAGGUUGACCACCAAUAUCAGCCCUAUAACCAUUAAAAGAAAGCAGCAUCGACUAAAGUAUUUGAUCAAUUUUUGUCUCUUCAUUAUUUUCCUUAUUGGUAUUUGUGUUCGAAUCAUUAUGGAAUUUAUACAUUUAAGUAUAAAUUGUUGUUGUUAUUUUGAUGCAAUUAAAGUAAUUAGUUGAAAAUGAGAAAAUUAUAGUGCCAAUUUUACAUAUGUUGUUUUCACGAUGCUAAGACGUUUCAUCCAAAGGAUUGACCAGAUUCGUUUCACAAACUUUAUUUACCACAUAACAGUUGAUCUGGUUUACACCAACCUCAUAAAGUUUGCUUUUCUGUUAUUUUUCUGCCACUGUUUAUCUUGAUCUUAUACUCAGCCCUCAGCAUUAGAAAUAGAUAAAGUUACAAAUUUGAUGGGGUCCUACAUUACUUGGUCUGAUAAAAUUAAAUAGUGAAAUCCAUGUUAAGGAUGUUCUAGACUGGUUAUUAAUGGAAGCAUGUUCUACUGUUUGUUUCUUAUAUGUUGAUCACAAGUGUGUAAGCUAUUAGGCAAUCAGUUUUAUGUAUUUUUUUUUUCAUUUAAUUCCACUUUUUUUUUGCUUUCAUAUGCAUCCUUUAGCUCCCACUAAUAGAGGCUCCAAGUGAUUUUCAAUGAAUGGAAUAUUUUAAAUGUUUUGUGAUACAUAGAAUCUGAAUCUGUUUUUGGAAGAAAUUUUUCCUCUUAUAAAAUAAAUGUCUAUUUUCCCUUUGCCCUCACAGUUUUUGAGAGAUGAGGAAUCAAUUAGUUUAUUAUACAAAUUUUCUCCAUCUCUUUGAGUAUGAAGACUACAUGUCCCAUGUUCUUUCCUAUCAACUAAAGCUCAAAGUAGGAAUCUAUAAUCUCUCUGUACAUUUGUAAUAUAUUAUACAAAAUAUGGAAAAAAUAAUCAAUAAACCCUUGUUAUCCUAUAAGAUGAUUCUUACAUAGCCACCUAAUAAAUGCUCUGACCUUACUCUAUGGAGAAUGAGGAUUGAUUAAAUAGACAUCCUAGACAGAUAGAGAUGAAGAGCUGAUCCAUGUCCCCUCUGAUGACAAAUUCUAGGUCUGGGCUCCACUUGAACCCUGGGGUAUCAUCUGUUGGAAAUAUUCCCUUAUUCCUGAAAACCUUGAAUCUUCACCAAAUAUGCUUGGAUCUGAAAUCUCAUCUUGGAUGGCCAUCGAGCCUUCUAGCAUUCUCACCACUUGGGACAUGCUAGGCCUAAGUGUGGGAGAUGCAGUAAUGCACAAGAGAGCUGCUUUAAUCAUCCUUUCCACCUAUUGCCCAUUGAAAUCACUUCCAACCUUGGAUCCGCCAACUCUAGUAAGCUUUCUCUCUGCUGCAAAAUAAAGGCCUUAAAUUACGUUGAAUGCUCCAAAGUAAUUACUUUGAAUGCAGCUUUAGGCUUUAUUAGCUGAACUAAGGUUUUCACCCCUGGACCCUUAGUCAAUGUGGAUCAAAGUAUGUUUCAGCUUAAAUCCAAGACUCAAAAGGUGAUUUGUUUUUUGUUGUUGUAAUUUGCCUCUAAAUAGACUGUGGGUUGGAGCAUCCUCUAUAGAAGAACAACUAGGAAUAUUUGUUAUAAUCUUGGCACAAACUUUAUCAAAUAGGAUGGUAGCUGAGAUCUUCCAAUACUCUGAAGAAACUAUUCAUUGCCACUUUAAAAGGAUGUUGAAGGCAAUUUUGAAAUUAGGUCGUGAGGUUAUUGCUCCAAUCCAAUAUGAAGGUGUUGCACCAGAAAUAGCACGGGAUUCAAGAUAUUUUCCAUAUUUUAAGAUGGGAAGGGUCAACAAACGACUCUAGAAUUUUUACAGAAGCAUUAACAAUGCCUAAAGUUGAGUUCCCUAUGCCUCCAAGUGGUAAAUAUUAUGUAGUGGAUUCGGGUUUCACUACUAUUACAGGAUUUCUCACCCCAUUUAAAGGUGACCAUUAUCAUUUGCAAGAAUAUAGGACAGUGAGACGACGACUGAAGGAUGCUCGUGAAUUGUUUAACCUUCAUCAUUCAUCACUUUGUAAUGUAAUAGAACGAUGCUUUGGAGUGUUGAAGGAACAUUUUCAAAUUCUGAACCACAUGAAACCUUAUAGUAUUGGCACACAAAGGCGCAUAAUCAUUGCAUGUUGUACACUUCAUAAUUUCAUUAGGCUGGAGAUAUUACUUGAUCAAGAAGAUCCAUUGUUCAGAAUAUAUGAAAAUGAAGAAGUUGUCAAAGAUAGCAACACAGUUGCAUCAUCAAAUACACAAACACUAAAUUAAGUGCUUGUAAUUGAGACGAAACAAUGAAAAUGUUACAGAUUGAUAUUAGUAAUCAGUUGGCUGAUAAA